AAUCAACGCUGGCGGCGUGCCUCAGACAUGCAAGUCGAACGAUUAAGACUUCCUUCGGGAAGUGUAUAAAGUGGCGCACGGGUGAGUAACACGUAAGUAAUCUACCCUCGAGUGGGGAAUAACAUCGGGAAACCGAUGCUAAUACCGCAUAACGCAGCGGCACCGCAAGGUGACAGUUGUUAAAGGAGCAAUCCGCUUGAGGAGGAGCUUGCGGCAGAUUAGCUAGUUGGUGAGGUAAUGGCUCACCAAGGCGACGAUCUGUAUCCGGCCUGAGAGGGCGGUCGGACACACUGACACUGAAUAACGGGUCAGACUCCUACGGGAGGCAGCAGUUGGGAAUUUUGGGCAAUGGGCGAAAGCCUGACCCAGCAACGCCGCGUGAGGGGUGAAGUACUUCGGUAUGUAAACCUCGAAAGAAUGGGAAGAAUAAAUGACGGUACCAUUAUAG
rnacentral:rRNA from 1 species